UACGUAGGGGGCAAGCGUUGUCCGGAUUUAUUGGGCGUAAAGAGCGUGUAGGCGGUUUGGUAGGUCCGUUGUGAAAACUCGAGGCUCAACCUCGAGACGCCGAUGGAAACCAUCAGACUAGAGUCCGGAAGAGGAGAGUGGAAUCCCUGGUGUAGCGGUGAAAUGCGCAGAUAUCAGGAAGAACACCCGUGGCUAAGGCGGCUCUCUAGUACGGUACUGACGCUGAGACGCGAAAGCGUGGGGAGCGAACAGG
rnacentral:rRNA from 1 species